CAGUCGCCGCUGGAAUACGUAGGGUGCAAGCGUUAAUCGGAAUUACUGGGCGUAAAGCGUGCGCAGGCGGUUAUAUAAGACAGAUGUGAAAUCCCCGGGCUCAACCUGGGAACUGCAUUUGUGACUGUAUAGCUAGAGUACGGCAGAGGGGGAUGGAAUUCCGCGUGUAGCAGUGAAAUGCGUAGAUAUGCGGAGGAACACCGAUGGCGAAGGCAAUCCCCUGGGCCUGUACUGACGCUCAUGCACGAAAGCGUGGGGAGCAAACAGGAUUAGAUACCCCUGUAGUCCCUGUCUCUUAUAA
rnacentral:rRNA from 1 species